GACGAACGCUGGCGGCGUGCUUAACACAUGCAAGUCGAACGGAAAGGCCCUGCUUUUGCGGGGUGCUCGAGUGGCGAACGGGUGAGUAACACGUGAGUAACCUGCCCUUGACUUUGGGAUAACUUCAGGAAACUGGGGCUAAUACCGGAUAGGAGCUCCUGCUGCAUGGUGGGGGUUGGAAAGUUUCGGCGGUUGGGGAUGGACUCGCGGCUUAUCAGCUUGUUGGUGGGGUAGUGGCUUACCAAGGCUUUGACGGGUAGCCGGCCUGAGAGGGUGGCCGGCCACAUUAGGACUGAGAUACGGCCCAGACUCCUACGGGAGGCAACAGUGGAGAGUAUUACACAGUGGGCGGAAGCCUGAUGCAGCGACGCCGCGUGCGGGAUGACGGCCUUCGGGUUGUAAACCGCUUUCGCCUGUGACGAGGCGUGAGUGACGGUAAUGGGUAAAGAAGCACCGGCUAACUACGUG
rnacentral:rRNA from 1 species